GAUGAACGCUGGCGGUCUGCUUUACACAUGCAAGUCGAACGGAAUCCUUCGGGAUUUAGUGGCGGACGGGUGAGUAACACGUGAGAAUCUGCACGCAAGAGGGGGACGACAGCGGGAAACUGCUGCUCAUACCCAAUGUGCCGAAAGGGCAAAGAUUUAUCGCCUGGGAAUGAGCUCGCGGCCGAUUAGUUAGUUGGUGAGGUAAUGGUCUACCAAGACGGCGAUCGGUAGCUGGUCUGGGAGGAUGAGCAGCCACACUGGGACUGAGACACGGCCCAGACUCCUACGGGAGGCAGCAGUGGGGAAUUUUCCGCAAUGGGCGCAAGCCUGACGGAGCAAGACCGCGUGGGGGAGGAAGGCUCUUGGGUUGUAAACCCCUUUUCUCAAGGAAGAACAAAAUGACGGUACUUGAGGAAUCAGCCUCGGCUAACUCCGUGCCAGCAGCCGCGGUAACAC
rnacentral:rRNA from 1 species